GCUGCUUAUUUUUUAAUAAAUUAUUUUUUAAGUUUUAUCCUGAACUGCUGUUAGCGUCUUGUUUUGAGCCAGAGCGAGAAACAAACAUUAUUUUCCCACAACAAUUUGGCGAGCCAGCCAGGAGAUUCUCGCUUGCCAGAAUUAUCCAGGAGGCUGUGAACCGUCCCAAAAGCCGGUACAGAGAUCUUUUGAGUCUCAAGGUGACGUUUUCACGGGCUCUGGGUAAAUGGCUAUGAAGUGGCUUUAUUUUUACAGCAGUUUGGAAUUAAAACAUUCUGUCCCCUGAUAAAAAUUGCUUUGUUUUGAGUGAAUACCUUGACUGCAUGGUGUGGCUUGUUUGUCUUUCGUGCAAGAGUUGCCUGCUUUGUUCUGGUUAUAAGGAAGAGGGCUUGAAUCGUCAUAAGGAUGACCUCACCGCAAAGAGGCGGGAAUUUCAAGGGGUACCGGUACCAUAAGAUAAACAGCCAAAGGAAAACGUAGCCGAUGCCCCCCCCCAGCCUGUUAGAAAUCAGCCUGACACUACAAAUUGGUAUGAUUCUAUUAUAUCUUGCAGCUUAUUGAAUGGUUGCAUUUGUUUCUAAGCAUGUAAGUUAUAAUUUGAUUACAGGAAUCAGUUCUCGACUGACCCAAGAUUUUCUGCUGCCACCUGCAAGGGGAAAGCUCAUGCUUGUAUCACAUUUAACUUUUCUAUCAUAGGAAGGCACAGAAGCCAUAACAGAAGUCAUAAUUCCAAAUUAUUUCCUCCAAUUAUCUGAUAUGAAUCCGUUGUUAUUAAGGGUUUUUCAUUUGUCCAUCUUGUUUGAUAAAUGUUUAUACAUUAACAAUGCCUGUUUUGUUUUUGCAUGGGUGUAGAGGGGAAUUUCCUCCUUUCUCCUCCCUUUGGCACUUUGAAAAGGAGGCAUAGUUUUUGAAGUAUUUAGUUUUUGCUCAUUUGUCUUUGUAUAUCUUUUUAACUUUUAUGUAUAAACUUUUUGGAGCUCCUUUUUUUGUCACUCUGGUAUAAUGUUAAGAAAUUAAGAAAUUUUCUGCUAUCUGAUCCAUGGGCAUAAGUUUACCUUGGUGAUUCAAAAAAGGGCCUUAUUAAUGGUUAUGUUGUCUAUUAUAUAGCUAUAAAAUAUUUUUCUCAUUGCCAGUACUGGUUUCUUUCUCUCUCUCUUUGUAUUCCUCUGUAGAAAAAUUUUAAGGAAGAUUUUAUUUUUCUCCAAAGCUCCUUUCUCUUAUUUUUGGUACAUUUAUCUUCUAAAGAAGGACAUUUUGUUUUGAAUUUGUUUUGUUUUCUGGUACUGUAGUUCCUUAAUUCCCAGGCAGCGAAUUAAGUUAUUUAAAGUUGUUUUUCUCCAUUCUGUGUACAAGGUUCCAAAAAGUGCAAACACAAGGGUGCAUGAGGGUUUCACCCCUCCUUUUCUUUCAGUCAAGAUCUGUUUUCAAAUGUUGAAGGCCAAGCUGUUUUGGCUGUACAGAGUACUUUCCAUGCAAUCUGUAUGAGUGCACAAAGGGGGGAGAACAUCCUCCUUUAAGAUCAUCCCCAGUGUUGAUAUCCUUGCCAAAUAUAUUCAGCGGUAGGGGAAAAGUGGUGGUGUUUGCCCAUCUGGCAGAUGGCAUGUUCCCAUGGGUGUUAUUCCUUUCAUGUAUAUGUAUAUCCCCUAUGAAUUUUGUGCUUGAGUAUGCUGUUUUGCCAUGGAAAAAGGGGGGUAGGUAGGCAUAUAUGGUUGUAUGGUAUGUACAGAUGUGUGCAAUAAUAAUAAUAAUAAUAAUGUGGAAAAAUAACAUUACAACUUAGUGUUUGGCUAUCUAUGUGAGAACAUGCAUGAAUCAUACACAUGUUCCCAUACCUCAUUCAAAACAAUGAUUGGUUCUAUACUGGGUCUUAUAAUUUGAGAGAAUGUUACAGAUGCCAUACGCCCUGGUUUCCUUUUCAUCCCCCACCUCUUGGUCCAAACAGGCCUCUCCAUUUCCUUAUUUUGUCAAUGUUUCUGGUGCAACUCAAACUGAUUUUGUGGGUCAUGCUAAAGCUACUCAAACAGAUGUUCAUUGCUGUGAUCAGUCUACUCAAUCAAGAUUUCACCCAGAUCAACUAUAAAAGAGUGUUUGAAAUAGGGUUUGUCUUUAAUUAUGACCAAAUUGAUAUGUAAAUCUCUGAGGCCAAGGAAAAAGGUCCUCAGGGAAAGGUAUCGAGGUUAUUUAUAUUGUGUAUUGUAUUAUAUUCUAUGAACUUUAUGAAUAGCAUUGUAAUCAGUCUAGGGUUAAAGAAGCACAGUCUCUUCCCACUGAUGUUCCUUGUUAUGAGCAAAAGGGGGAAAUUAUGUGUGAGAAGUAGUAAUUUCUUGGGUUCAACCUUUUCCAGUUCUUGUAUUCACCAAUAUAGCAGUUAAAGCAAGGAAAAAGGAGGCCUGGAUACACGCAGCAUGUGUGAAAAGGACAUUACAUCCAACAGAUGCCCUCUCAACCAUGGGACCCUGAUGCUUUGUUUUCCUUAGGAGGAUUGUCUUUAGAGGACCUAGCGACACUGGCUGAAAAUAUCCUGAGAAUGAGCAGAAAGAGGCAUUGGAAAUAUGUAAGGAAUCUACUAACUUUAAAUCAAAAGCCUUAAUUCCUUCCCAGGUGUCUUCCUGUUGGCGCAGAUGCAGAUAUGGCCAAAAUGUUAAAAGAGGAAGGCUUUUUGAUAAAGGACAGCGUUGAUUCAAGUUUGAUUUCCUAAGUAAGGGCUACAGGAGAAUUUCCAGACCGUUUGGACAAGGCUUGGAGGAUCUGGUGAAUUCCCACCCCGACAUGCUGGAAUCAGACUUGGAGGUUUUCCAAGAGCAGCUUAAUCAAGAGUGUUUGUUGGAUGAACUCCUCACUCAUAUCAAUGAAGGAUUCCAAGGCUGUUAUAGUUUCCGCCCAUGCCAGUUGAAGAAAAGGCAUUUCUAAAGUCACUCGGGGGAAGGUGGGUUUUGAGAAAUAAAGUCUCCGUACCUUUUUUCCUUUUAGAUGUCCAAAGAAAGAUGCUGCAAUUAAUUGUUCUUUUCAUCAUUUAAGUUUUUCUGACUAGCAUCAGCAACCCAUGGACAGAUGAAUUAAACUUCCACUAAACAUGACCAUCUGGUCUCCUGAGGAUGGAGCGUGUACAAUCUACCCUGCAGUAUGUUUCAAGAUCACAGGAAUUGUUUUAUUUUUCAUUAUAAUAUUGAGUGUUAUAGAAUUCUUUUGUUUAAAGUUUUUAUUGUUAUAUUUUAUAAUUUGGCAUAUUGUAAUUGUCUAUGUUAUCCUGUUUGCUGGUAAAUGUUUAAUGUUCCUGCUAUUGUAUAAAUAUUGUAAUAGUUAGGCUGUGUUAAGGGUGUAGAAAUGAAUCCAGCAGGGAAGUUUGAUUGGUUUGUAUUUAUAAGUUUCACACGAAGCAUGCACAUAUGACCACAAUGGCCUCCUAAUCAGGAUUACAUCAGUAAGGUAUUUACAAAAUAAGAAGAAGCCAUAGUGUAAAUAAAGGUAAUUCACCCAUUAGGAAAAGCCAUUAUUGCUAUAGCAUAUCAUGGAAAAUUGAUGUAAGUAAGAAUAGGACUUAUAAUUGAUUUUUUGCAUUAAUGUAUAUAUUGUUGGAUGCUGAAGUUCACUGGAGGUUGUACAAUACACACUUUGGUUGAAAGAAGGAUAGAAUGAAAUCAAGAAAGAAAUGUGAUGUUAUAUAAAUAAAGGUAUUGGCCAGAGUAGUGAGCCACUUUGAAUGCUGUAAACCAAAUAUGGUUGAAGGAGAACCUCUGGCAUGUGGGCAUGCUGAGGUUCUAAGGGGGGAUUGUUAAGGGUUAAUUCCUCUGACACACUAAAAGCACCUCCUUGAGGGUCAUCCUUGAGAGUUAUCUACUGUUUUGAUUAAGCACCGCCAUCUUACAACGGAUGUCUAUAUCCACCAUCUUAGUAAUGUAAGCUGUUCAUGUACUGUGGCCGGAAGCCUGACUCAGGGAAUACACUGGUGGAACUAGUUCAAUGUAACACACUGUAAUAUUACCAUAUAUGGAGUUCCUACUGUAAGCUUCCUGUAAGUUGUUUACUAAGGGGUAUAAAUAUCGGGGGAACAAGACAGUCUGGGUCGACCGCACUCAUUCUGAAUUGCUGGUGUGAGUGCUGCUUAUUUUUUAAUAAAUUAUUUUUUAAGUUUUAUCCUGAA